rnacentral:lncRNA from 1 species
GCCUGACUUACGAGGGGAUAGGUAGAAGUAUUUGGACAGGCUUGGAUGGCCCGUCGUCACCUGGAUGAGCUAACAACUUAACAUUUGUAGGUUUUGCAUGACUCUGUGGGCGAGGUAACGCUUUCCCUUUAUCUCCGUCCUUUGGCUCCGUCCUUUGGGGAGACCUGGGGCGACACUUUAGAACGUGUUCCUUUGUCUUCGCGCACACCCUAAAAUAUAGAAACACU